rnacentral:rRNA from 1 species
UACGGAGGGGGCGAGCGUUAUUCGGAAUUAUUGGGCGUAAAGGGCGCGUAGGCGGCUUGAUGUGUCAAAGGUGAAAUCCCUCGGCUCAACUGAGGAACUGCCUUUGAAACUGUCUGGCUUGAGGCCGGGAGAGGGUAGCGGAAUUCCCAGUGUAGCGGUGAAAUGCGUAGAUACUGGGAGGAACACCGGUGGCGAAGGCGGCCCCCUGGACCGGUACUGACGCUGAGGCGCGAAAGCGUGGGUAGCAAACGGG